GAUGAACGCUAGCGGGAGGCUUAUCACAUGCAAGUCGAGCGGGAUUAGCAGCAAUGCUAUGAGAGCGGCGCACGGGUGCGUAACGCGUAUGCAACCUGCCUUAUACAGGGGAAUAGCCCAUGGAAACGUGGAUUAAAGUCCCAUAGAAUCAAGAUAUCGCAUGGUAUUAUGAUUAAAACUGAGGUGGUAUAAGAUGGGCAUGUGUCUGAUUAGGUAGUUGGUGAGGUAACGGCUCACCAAGCCGACGAUCAGUAGGGGUUCUGAGAGGAUUACCCCCCACACUGGUACUGAGACACGGACCAGACUCCUACGGGAGGCAGCAGUGAGGAAUAUUGGUCAAUGGCCGGAAGGCUGAACCAGCCAUCCCGCGUGCAGGAUGACGGCCCUAUGGGUUGUAAACUGCUUUUGUACCUGAAGAAUAGGCCCAACGAGUUGGGAUUUGCCGGUAAGGUAUGAAUAAGCAUCGGCU
rnacentral:rRNA from 1 species